rnacentral:lncRNA from 1 species
UUGAUCACAGGACCCCGGGAUCACGAGCUGAGCCAAAGACAGACACUCAGCCACUGAGCCACCCACGUGCCCCAGAGAUCUUUUCAUACCUACAUAUAUGGACUUGGUUUUUGUAAUGUCUGCAUAGUCUUCAGGCUUCCACAUUCCAAUCCCUGUGACAGGUCCCACUGGAUGGACCUUGAGGUUGCUUCCAGUUAGUAUUAGGGAAUCAUUAUUAAUAAACAUCCUAGCGUUUCAAAUACAGGCCCCCUGUGGUCUGUCUUCUCAAGAUCCCAGGGAUCUCCUGGAUUUUUUGAUUGGUCCUGUUCUGGGAACUAAACAAGCACCCUUUUGCUAGUCAUGGUCCCUUCAGAGACUGUGCAAUAUAGUCCCCUCAGGCUUUUCCCUCCCCCCAGCCUAUGCCCCUUUACAAUCAUCCUAUUCAGGGAUAUACAAUAAACAUUUGUAUGGUAAAGGCAACUGACAUGGAUUUCUAUGGAGCAGCUGAAAUACCCUGACUCAGCCAGCCUCUGUUUUUUUUUUUUUUUAUAUAUAUAAGGUUUUAUUUACUUAUUCAUGAGAGACACAGAGAGAGAGGCAGAGGGAGAAGCGGGCUCCAUGCAGGGAGCCUGAUGCAAGACUCGACCCUAAGUCUCCAGGAUCACACCCUGGGCAGAAAGCGGCGCUAAACCACUGAGCCACCUGGGCUGCCCCCAGCCUCUGAUUUAUAUUAGGGCUUCCCAUGAGUCCCUUGUGAUUAUAGACGGAGAAAGAACACCCCUCACUCCCAACUCAUGGCAUUAUUGUGCUACUAAGCUUCCCCCAAAACACCAAGCUCUUUUUGGGACCCUCCCAGCUUUCUCUGCACAUGCUUUUCCUUCUCCUCUUCUCAGUGCCUGGCUAACUAAUACCAGCUGGUUCUUCAGGUCUCAGAAGCUACUCCUUCCAGGAAGCCUUUCCUGAAUACCCCACUCCAGCCUGGGUUAAGAGCUACAGAAGCACCCCGUUAUUUCUUGUAGCACGUAUCCCACACUUUGUUGUAAUUCCCUGUUCACAGUUGUCUGUGAACAGUGUGAGGGCACAGUUUGGGUCUUGUUCACUGUUUUGUCCUUGGCGCCUACCACAGAGCCAGGCGGUUUUGUGGCUCAAUAAAUAUCAGUUGAAUGAAUGCACAAACGUCAAGUGCACGAGGAGUGGGGAAGCCACCAAAGUCCCAGAAGCCACAUACACAACCAGAGGCUCUUAAAGCUGGAGACGAAGCAUUCCUUAAGGAACAAAAACCUGACUUCUUGUAGGUACCUUCAAGGAGUAUGUCAUAAGACAAACUGGCAAUCCAAGGGAAAGGAUAGGAUCACAAAAGAAAAUAGUCUCCAGCUGCCUAGCUCCAGGGAAUGUUUGUCAGUGUGACAUUCACAGAAGCCUUGCACAUGUGCUGAGGGGGAGAGCCAGCCUCAGCCAGACAGGAGGGAGUUCAGCUACUGUGCAUAUGUUAGCACUGAGUGAUGUGUGGCUUAGAAGCUUCUUGGCUCUGAGUUUCUUUUCUUUCUUCUUUUUUUUUAACAACAACAACAAAAAACUCCAGAUAUUUCCCAAUUUUAUAUAUAUAUAUAUAUAUAUAUAUAUAUAUAUAUAUAUAUAUAUAAUCUUUAAGGAACGUUUUUAUUUUUGAGGUACUGUUACCAAAUUAUAUUGACUCAGUUCAUUAAAAACCAUAGUACAGAAUUGAUUUGAGUCCAAAAGUAUUAGGAUUCUAUUAAAUAAAUGCUUCUUCUUGCCGCACCCAAAAAAAAACUCAUUAGCACCGUCAUUAAUCAUUUCACACCCCUUCAACCCUUUGCUUGUGUCCCUGAGUUACUCUGCCAUAAAAGAAGUUUCUGAAGGUAUGUGAUAAGGUGGAGCAUGUUUAAGGAACAGUUCUAGGUUGAGGGUAAGGAAUUUGGGGCUGAGAAAGUAAAACUUGUUGAACUUGAGGAGCCCAUCUAUCAUUUUGUGCCUCAGUUCCCCUUUUCUGGAGCUAGAAUAGCUCUUUUUUUAAAUACUAGUUAAUAAAGUCAACAGGUGUUUAUUAAGCACUGUUAGAAAACCACUGGCCCAAAAUGGUGUCACUGAGAUUAAAGCCCCAAGUCAAUUAACCAGGACUUAAUACUUAACCUAACAGCAGUUUCAACCUCCCCCCCCAAAUGUAAUCUUUAACCAGUCAACAUGGGAACUCUUGGGUUAACACUAGGAAAUUUACUGAUAGGCCUCUUCAGUGCCCCUAAGGAGGGUGACUGCCUAAAACAAUGAACUCUUUGCUAACCAUUUGCUUUUUUUCCAUUCCUUCUCUAGCUUUAAAAACCUUUCCUUUUCCAUAGCCCUUUGGAACUCUUGUUUACUUGCUAGACUGGAUGCUGCCUGAUUCAUGAAUCAAUUAAUAAAGCCAAUUAGGGGGCACCUGGCUGGCUCAGUCAGAGGAGCAUGUGACUCUGGACAAGCAUGUGUCAUGAGUUCAACCCACAAUAGUGUAGAGAUUACUAAAAAAUAAAUAAAUAAGCUUUAAAAAAUAAGGCCAAUUAGAUCUUUAAAAUUUAAGGUUUUUCUUAAGAUUUUAUUUUUUUAUUCAUGAGAGACACACAGAGAGAGGCAGAGACACAGGCAGAGGGAGAAACAGGCUCCUCACAGGGAGCCUGAUGUGGAACUUGAUCCCUGAACCCAGGAUCAUGCCCUGAGCCAAAAGCAGACACUCAACGGCUGAGCCACCCAGGUGUUCCAUGGUAUCUUUUAUUAUUGUUAUUUAACAGCACCUACCAUGUGCCAGCAUAGCAUGGCUGACUGGUUGCAGUGGUUCUUAACCUUUUCUGGGGGGAUGCAGAUUUACAGAUCUUUAUGGUAGCCACUAGCCACAUUUGGCUAUUUAUUAACUGGAGUGCCUGGGUGGCUCAGUCAGCUAGCCAUCUGACUCUUGAUUUCAUGAUUUUGGCUCAUGUCAUGAUCUCACGGGUUGUGAGACUGAGCCCCUUGUCAUGGGGCUCCGUGUUCAGCAGAGUCUGAGAUUCUCUCUCCCUAUCUCCCUCUGCCCCUCCCCCAACUCCUCAGGGGUAUAUGUGUGUGUGUGUGUGUGUGUGUGUUCUCUCUCUCUCCCUCUCUCUUGCUAAGGUAAAUAAAUCUUUAUAAAAUAAUAAGAACUAGUUACAAUUAAAUACAAUGAAAAGUUCAGUAUCUCACUUGCACUAGUCAUUGAGUUAUUUCAAGAGCUCAAUAACCACAUGAUUCUAAUGGCUACUCCACAGAACUCAGAUAUAGAACAUAUCCAUCAUUAUACAAAGUUCUAUUGGACAGCACUGCAUGGAUAUUCUCCCCGGAAUUACAACUUCUCUGUUCAAUUUGCAAUACUUUUUAUCCAAAUUUACAAGUUUUACGGUUUUUCAGGGUUGGAGUAGGGGUUGGGUGCAGAGGCAGUCAGUCAUUCACUGGUCCCUGAGCCCCAGAAUCCAAGAAACAGAAGCCCUGAUAUGACAAGCUUUUGGAGAAUUCCAUCUCAGAAUAUAGCAAGCUGACAAAAAUAAAGCAAUAAAGCUGCUACAAAUCCAGUAUGCUCACUGCUUUAAUUGUACCUCCUCAUGUAAAACCAGGAAUCCUACCUAUCUGGCCAUAUUCAAAGAAACAUCAGCUUAUUAGUCAAAAAUAACUGAAAACCAAUGUUAAGGAUUUUCUGUAAUCUCUUAAAGAGACACCAGAGGGGAAUAAUAUUCACAACACACUGCAAAUCUUCUUGAAUUAUCUUUCCUAUCUUUUUCCUCUUCUCAUCCUCCCACACAUGGCACUUGCUUCCUGAAAGCUCUCUGCACUCCCAUCCAAACCCCCUCAAACCUAGUCUGCCGCUGCUUCUCCCUUUCCUCCCCUGCACAGCAAAGUUCUCUAUUAUGUAUCUCUGCAGAAUAUGUUUUAUUUUACUCUGUCACACAAAUACAGUGGCAAAGAAUAACAAAGAGAAAGCUCUCGGGGUGAUGUGACUAGGCACACAUUCCGGUGACCCAACCCACAGCUCUCCCUGGCAGCCUGGACCAGUUUCUUUGAGGUGACUCAUUUUCCCACCAAUGAUUUACUCCCCGCAUCACUUCCUCUUCUAUCCACUGCUCCCAAGGACCAGAGUCUGAGAGAAAUUCAUGACUGAGCCUGACCCAGAAGAAAACAUAUUGCUGGGAUGCUAGAGGGAACUGAUGUCAUAGGGAAAGGAAGAAAACCAGAUGGUCUGGUUCAUAGAAUCUUUUAUCCCUACUGAUAAUUGUUUUAUUAUUACUUUUUAUUGGGCACUGCCCUACUCCCUAGCAGGGAGUGAAUGGCUUGCUGUGGGAAAUACAUUAACUCUUAACACUCUGCCAAGGUCAAAGACUUCUUUUCAAUCUGAAGAGAAGUCCAACAGUGCCAUUCUUAUCUUCAUAUUAGAAGUGAUCGGUGUUAUUCAGCUCCCCUGUAUUUUAGGUGAAAACUUAACCCUGUAGGAAGGGCAGUUCUAUCCCUUGUAUUAGAGAACUCUGAUCCUCAUCCACCAUCAUUUGGUCAUGCUCCUUGAAUUGCUUUUAUUUUUAUCUUUUAUUAUUAUUUUUAAAGAUUUUAUUUUUUAUUCAUGAGAGACACACAGAGAGGCAGAGACACAGGCAGAGGGAGAAGGAGGCUCCACACAGGAAGCCCGAUGCAGGACUCGAUCCUAGAACUCCAGGAUCAUGCCCUGAGCUGACAGCAGACGCCCAACCUCUGAGUCACCUAGGCGUCCCAUCCUUGAAUUGUUUUUAGUGAAGAGGGCACAUAGAGCCUAGAACCAUCACGUUUCUUAUCCUUCCUGUGUUACCCACAUGCAUCUAAACUCAUUGUUGUCCACCCCCUAUAGAUCACUUCCCUCUGCUUUACUCCCCAUCUCAGAAUGCUAUGACUGCAUAACCAGUUCCCUAAGCCAAGAACUUGUAAAUCAACCUGGACUCCUCCUCACUCAGCCCCCACAGCCAGUCUAUCACCAUGUCCUAUGAUAUCGUCUCCUUGGGAUAACUCACCUCCUUAGUAUCUAUCUCUGUCCUCUUACAUCAGGCCAGCGGCAUUUCUUACUUUAAGGACUGCAGAGGUCUCCCAGUAGGUGUCUCCCUGCAUUGGCUCCCAUGUUGCUUCCCCAUGUAACCUGCUAGUCCAUGGGCCAUUUGGGGCUAUCCCUGUUCUUACCUAUACUCACCUUUAGGCUAAUCUGACUACAGUGUCAUAAGUUCCCAGAAGAGUAAGAAUCCAACUACAAAAUCACUAAUGGAAUAUGUAGUUUUAAAUGAAGGAAUCAGGCAGCCCAGGUGGCUCAGCUGUUUAGCGCCACCUUCAGCCAGGGGCCUGAUCCUGGAGUCCCGGGAUCGAGUGUCCCUGCAUGGAGCCUGCUUCUCCCUCUGCCUCUAUUUCUAUCUCUGUCUCUCAUGAAUAAAUAAAUAAAAUUUUUAAAAAAUUUUAAAUGAAGGAAUCUAUGAAGUCCCAGUGGGAGCUUACACUGCAAUUACACAGCAAUAGUUCCUACACAGACCCCUUGUCUCUUCUCUCCAAGAUUCUGCUCACCUCCACUCCCAUUUCAUUAUGGCAGGUAUUGCCACACCUCUCUCUCUCACUCCCUUUCCUUUCCCUACUAUCCUGCAGCUGCCCUCUAGUUAAAUUAGUUCUUGGUUGCCUCCUCCACAUUUCUAAUCCUUUCAGCUGCCACUUCCUUCUGAGAAGAUCUCAUCCCAACAUAACUCCUUAAAGCCUUCAUGGCUACUCACUGCUCUCAGUAGAGUCCACAUUCCCUAACAUGUUCUACUAGGCUUUGCAAGCCCCGGCCCCAGCUCCUUCCCCUUCUGCCCCAGACAUA